GCACGUGAGGCCGACUGGUGAGGCACCACUCUUACAAAGUGGCUGUAGUGGGUUCGAUUCCCUCCGCGUGCA
rnacentral:tRNA from 1 species